GACGAACGCUGGCGGCGUGCCUAAUACAUGCAAGUCGUGCGGACCUUUUAAAAGCUUGCUUUUAAAAGGUUAGCGGCGGACGGGUGAGUAACACGUGGGCAACCUGCCUGUAAGACUGGGAUAACGCCGGGAAACCGGGGCUAAUACCGGAUAGUUUUUUCCUCCGCAUGGAGGAAAAAGGAAAGGCGGCUUCGGCUGCCACUUACAGAUGGGCCCGCGGCGCAUUAGCUAGUUGGCGGGGUAAUGGCCCACCAAGGCAACGAUGCGUAGCCGACCUGAGAGGGUGAUCGGCCACAUUGGGACUGAGACACGGCCCAAACUCCUACGGGAGGCAGCAGUAGGGAAUCUUCCGCAAUGGACGAAAGUCUGACGGAGCAACGCCGCGUGAGUGAAGAAGGCCUUCGGGUCGUAAAACUCUGUUGCCGGGGAAGAACAAGUGCCGUUCGAACAGGGCGGCGCCUUGACGGUACCCGGCCAGAAAGCCACGGCUAACUAC
rnacentral:rRNA from 1 species